rnacentral:ribozyme from 14 species
UUAUUGUGCAAUUAUCUCUUCUUUUUGACUUUUUACUUUUACUUUUUCUUUUCUAGAGAAAUAAGUGCGGAAACUAAAGAGCCGAAGCAAAAGA